GUAGGUGGCAAGCGUUGUCCGGAAUUAUUGGGCGUAAAGCGCGCGCAGGUGGUUUCUUAAGCCUGAUGUGAAAGCCCACGGGCUCAACCGUGGAGGGUCAUUGGAAACUGGGGAACUUGAGUGCAGAAGAGGAAAGUGGAAUUCCACGUGUAGCGGUGAAAUGCGUAGAGAUGUGGAGGAACACCAGUGGCGAAGGCGACUUUCUGGUCUGUAACUGACACUGAGGCGCGAAAGCGUGGGGAGCAAACAGGAUUAGAUACCCUGGUAGUCCACGCCGUAAACGAUGAGUGCUAAGUGUUAGGGGGUUUCCGCCCCUUAGUGCUGCAGCUAACGCAUUAAGCACUCCGCCUGGGGAGUACGGCCGCAAAGGCUG
rnacentral:rRNA from 1 species